rnacentral:rRNA from 1 species
GACGAACGCUGGCGGCGUGCCUAAUACAUGCAAGUAGAACGCACAGUUUAUACCGUAGCUUGCUACACCAUAGACUGUGAGUUGCGAACGGGUGAGUAACGCGUAGGUAACCUGCCUGGUAGCGGGGGAUAACUAUUGGAAACGAUAGCUAAUACCGCAUAAUAUUGAUUAUUGCAUGAUAAUUGAUUGAAAGAUGCUAUUGCAUCACUACCAGAUGGACCUGCGUUGUAUUAGCUAGUAGGUGAGGUAACGGCUCACCUAGGCGACGAUACAUAGCCGAACUGAGAGGGUGAUCGGCCAGCCUGGGACUGUGACACGGCCCAGACUCCUACGGGAGGCAGCAGUAGGGAAUCUUCGGCAAUGGACGAAAGUCUGACCGAGCAACGCCGCGUGAGUGAAGAAGGUUUUCGGAUCGUAAAGCUCUGUUGUAAGAGAAGAACGGGUGUGAGAGUGGAAAGUUCACACUGUGACGGUAUCUUAACAGAAAGGGACGGCUAACUACGUG